AUGGGCCUUUUGUGUAAGGAUGGCGCCUUCUUCUGGGCUAAUUGGGCUUCACGUUGCCGGGCCUACAUAGGACGAAAAGAAGAGAGGUUUUUCGGCCCAAUCUUCCGAGCCCAGCUCCUUCCCCUUCUUUCAUUCCCUCCCCUCUCACUCGUCUCUCCCCUGCCAGCCGCCGCCGCCGCCACCCGGCUCCUCCGCGACCUCCACCUCACCGCCGCCCAGAUCCAACUCCGCCGACGAGCCCAACCGCCUCCACCGUCCCCAUCCGCGCCGUCGUCGCAGAGCGAGCCUCAACGACGGCCCCGUCGUCCUCCGCCUCCAGCGGGUCCCGCCGCCCCUGCUGCUCCGUCCCCCGACACCUCUUGCCACCGGAGUUGGCCCUCCAGCCAAGGUGGUGCAAUGGCCUCAGGCAUCAUGUUCCGACGUCUUUCCAAGACACUCACCAUGAGCCCAGCAACAGCACUGGCAUCUGGUAUGACCAGCCAGCACCACCAGCUUCAGCAGCGUGCACCGGUGAGUGGCACGUCCAAGGGCAAGGCGAAGCUCAAAGCUGGGAUGCCUCUGAGGCGUAGCGUCAUAGCCAAGAAGGGGGGCGCGCCUGCCACUGCUGGGAGCGGCGGCGCUGGCCGUGGUCGCCGUGAAGCCAUGGAGCGUAUUACUCAGAUUGCAGAGUCUUGUCUGAAGUCCUCCACUCCUCUACGGCACCUGUCCCCCAAGGAGCGUCUCCGCGAGGCAAAGCGUGAGGAGCUUGGGCUCAUCUCCAAGGAACGGCAACGUGAGCUUGACGCUGCCAAGGCUAAAGCUAAAGCUAAAUCCAAGGGUGCCAGUGGAGGUGAUGGUGACCGUGUUCUGAUGGGUCCGCCGGGCCUUGACUAUAUCAGUCUUGGUCUGGUGGAUGAGGAGACUAUCCCUGAGUAUGAGCUGACAGUUGAAGAUGGCCGGCGUCUUGCCAAGGAAUACAGCCGUGUGCUAAUACGACGACACCGUGCACGUCAAACUGCAGAGUCAACGCUCUUGAGGCUCAAGAAGGAGGCCAUUGCUGCACUCCCUGAGAAGCUGCGGGCUGCUGCUAUGGUUCCUGACAUGACCCCGUUCCCUGCAAACCGGUACAUGGCAACACUCACGCCACCGAUUGAAGGGUAUAUUGAAAAGGUGCGAGAUGCUGCCAAGAAGUAUUCAGUGAAGGAGAAACUUCGCUGA
rnacentral:rRNA from 1 species